AUAAAUCUCCCCCAUUGUUCUGCAUAACUGCGCAUACAGGCUCCACCUUGACCACUCCCCUAUGGCACCUGUUUUCACCAUUAACAAGGAAACAGACUCAAACAAGUGUUUGAUCCCUAUGGCACACAAUAGAACAACUCAAAAAGAGGAAUUUUCGACAUCUGAACAACAAAUCUGAGACAGGAGAAGAGACACAAGAAUAAGUAGAUGAGUGAAAACUGGCGUUCAUGUGAUCAGAGGGGAAAUAGGGUAUUCAGUGUUUAGUGAUCGGCCUCUUCUUAUGUUAUAUGAGAAAACUCCCCAUAACAUGUUCAGAAACCUGCCUAUAAAGAACUGGGGUAUCAAUGACAGUUUUUAAAUAGUAAUGAAUGACCACCCCCAAGAGCUGACAGUCUACAAGAUGAAUGUAUUGUAUGGAUAUGCGGCACAUCCGGACACGACUUUGUAAGAAAGAAAUCACAUAGAGCAG